rnacentral:rRNA from 1 species
UACGUAGGGACCAAGCGUUGUUCGGAUUUACUGGGCGUAAAGGGCGCGUAGGCGGCCUUCUAAGUCGAACGUGAAAUCCCCGGGCUCAACCCGGGAACUGCGUCCGAUACUGGAAGGCUUGAAUCCGGGAGAGGGAUGCGGAAUUCCAGGUGUAGCGGUGAAAUGCGUAGAUAUCUGGAGGAACACCGGUGGCGAAGGCGGCAUCCUGGACCGACACUGACGCUGAGGAGCGAAAGCCAGGGGAGCAAACGGG